UGUUUUCUCUUCUAGAGUUACACUGACUGAUUAUGGUAUCCAUGUGGCAAGCUAAAGAGGAAGUUUCUAAAAAGAUGCUGCUCUGGAGCUGGAAAACUCUUCUCCAGCCUCAUACUCCUGAUGACAUUCACAGGACGGGAAGGCUACUGUCAUUUUAUCAGGUUGCUGCACCCAGGUGGAUAUAAGACCUUAUGUACUUUUUCUGGGCACCGAUGGAAAAUAAUGGAAUUACAUUCGAGUCUGGGCUUCCUAGUAAUAAUUACUCCAGUCUUAUCAGCACCUUGACUACUUUCCCUGGUUGCUUUCCUACUACUCUCCUCAUUGACACCUGGUGGUAAAGUUGUCACUGCCGCCUGUCUCACUGAGCUGUUUAGAGCAAAACAAACUUGUGCUGACAUUUUGGCCUGGGGUGUGCAGCAGAGGGACACCAACAAGGUCUGAGGAACACCAAGAGGGUUGGUCAGCCCCUGACAUGUAACUUCACUCACAAGUGUCUGCUCCCACCUGGAGAGAAAGCAGCUGAAGUAAGGGGUGAAAGCAGAGGGCGUGCUUUUCCUUCAGUCUGCUCGUAUAACCAGUAUGUGAGGAGACUGCAGUGAGGGACUCAGCAGGAUCCAAAGUCUUUUAAAUUUUUCUAUGACUAAUAAAGAUAUGCUUACCCAUAUGAUCAUGGCUGGUUAUAAAACAUAAAAUUCCAGUUUUUACAACAACCCCCACCCUGCUGGUCCUAUAGAUUUCUUGAGGUUGGAAAGAGACAUCCCUGCUGCUACUAUUUACUAUUUCUUCAGCUGUCACUGAGACAGGAUAUAUUCCUCCAAAGUGGCUUUGCAGAGAAGAUGCUGCCCAGAGAAGAGAGCAGGAUGGACAGGCUGCUGCCAUGUACCCUCAGGACCAUGCCUGCAUGGACAUGGCAGUCAACUGAAGGGCCAUUGGGACUCUCCAGGCCUGGAGGUGUGUUAUGGAGCUGCAUCACUUGCAGGAAACCAGCUGUUGCAUCAAGAUGACAUCAGGCCUCCCUCAGAGAGCCACUCUGUCCUUUGGGUCCUAGAGUCAAGUAUGUCUCAGCCUGAAGAUGAGAAGUCCACCCAACAGGUGCUGGAAGGAAGAAAGAAGAAAGUGCAACAAGAGGCACCUUUUUGUGAUGAAAAAUUCCCCUUCAGACAAAGAUAAUGGAGACUUAGUGGGACCCAAGGAGCACUCUUGUCUUUGUGUUUGAAGCAGAGCCUUUGGGAGGUGCUCCCAUGGUUUGGGCCUCACUUCUUAUGGUCUGGACACCACCUCUGCCCCAGCUCCAUCAGGUAACACUCUUGGUCUUCUGGUUUCUCCCACCCAGGCUGGUAUCCAGCAUAUCCUGAGAGCUUUCUCCUGACUGAGUUUCACCUACACGUCCAUGGGAGGAGAUUGAUCCCUGCUUCUGUGCAGCUUUCUGCCUGUGCCAGCUUUAUUUUCCCACUCAGUGGCAACUUUUACUUUACUGCAGGCAUGUGGAUGGCAAGAGAAUCAAGUUGGCAAGUCCUUUAUCUUUUCAGCUAUUUCUUAAUUAAAGAAACAUUAGCAUGUCCGAUUGCCAGACACCACAAGGCAGCAUUCUACCACACAUUAGUCCUUUUCUUUCUUUUUCAUGUCCAGAGGUAAAGAGGUGGGUGACAACUUUUCAGUGGGGGAGGGAUUUAUGCUGAGAACUGCUCUUGCAGCCUCUCUGUCUUUUACACUUGAACAGGAAGGGACCCAAAAGGAAGACACUCAAUCCAACAGAUUAUUCACAGAGCCCCUGGCAAAUUAGUGAAGGAAGGAAGGAAGGAAGGAAGGAAGGAAGGAAGGAAGGAAGGAAGGAAGGAAGGAAGGAAGGAAGGAAAGAAGGAAGGAGGGGAGGGAGGGAGGGAGGGAGGGAGGGAGGCUAAAAGAAUUGCAGUCUGUCAAGAGGGAAAGAUGAGUUUAAAAGGAUAUUCCUUUAUUGUUAUAAAUGGCUGCAAUUCAAUCAUGAAGAAAAAGAAUUACAGGAUAAUGUGCAAAGGAUUGAUUUGAUAAGGGAAAAAGACACCUGAGUUUCCUUCAACUCUACGGGAAGGGAGUUGUGUUGAGUGUGCUUGUUGCAUGCAUGUAGCUGGGUAAUUGCUAGGUUAGGAACUGAAACAGCAGCAUGUGGGCAUGAUCCAAUGGAGAAAGCAGA
rnacentral:lncRNA from 1 species